CACGUAGUUAGCCGGAGCUUAUUCCUCAGGUACCGUCAAAUUCCUCUUUCUUCCCUGAUAAACGAACUUUACAUUACGAAUAACUUCUUCGUUCACGCGGCGUUGCUCGGUCAGGGUUCCCCCCAUUGCCGAAAAUUCCCUACUGCUGCCUCCCGUAGGAGUAUGGACCGUUCUCAGUUCCAUUGUGGCCGUUCAACCUCUCAGUCCGGCUACGCAUCAUCGCCUUGGUAGGCCCUUACCCCACCAACUAGCUAAUGCGCCACAGGCCCCUCCUUAAGCAGAUCUCUCUUUUAAAUAUAAAAGAUUCUUCCUCUAUAUCCUAUCCAGUUUUAUCCAUCGUUUCCAAUGGCUAUCCUCGUCUUAAGGGUAGGUUACCUAUGUAUUACUCACCCGUUCGCCACUAAAGUACCCGAAGGUACUUCCGUUCGACUUGCAUGUAUUAGGCACGCCGCCAGCGUUAAUCCUGAGCCAGGAUCAAAACUCU
rnacentral:rRNA from 1 species